AGAGAUGGCAGAAUCUGACUAUCUGAGACUCAAUGUUCUGUGGAUUUGGGAUAAGAGAGUUCCCAAAAUCCAUUGGCUGAGGUGCUCUCACUCCACUGCUGCCAUCAAACCAGUGGGGCUUUCUUCGCUCAAAUCUUUCUUUGGAUGCAAAUGGAUAUUCAAGCUCAUCUCUCUUAUAGCUUAUCUUCCUCGAUGAUAACAAAAUUUUCAUUUCCUUCCUUUUCUAGCUACUAUCCUCUCAGACCUUUCUGCUCGCGAAAGAAGUCCCGGGAGUCCAGUCAAAACGGCGACGACAAUGGUGACAAAUCCUCAACAGACUGGGAUAAGGCCUGGUCAAACUUCAGGAAACAGGGGAAGAAAACCCUCCUCUCUCAGUUCUUUCCAAACAAGUAUGUGAGUUGGAAUCCUAGGCGCUCAAACUACCCACUAUCUGAAGAGGUUGAUCCUAUCAAGAGGACGGAGAGGUCGAACCUCAUGUUAUGGACGAGUCCAAGGUUUACUCUAGUGGGGGCUAUUGUAAUAGUCACAUUUCUUUUGGUCUACACCAUUCUUUAUCCAAUUAAAUGAUUCAACUAAGUUCUGUUACCGUCCAAGAAAGUAGACCCUAUGCUGUAAAAGUAUGAUGAAGUAUAUAAGGAAAUGGGCAUAGGAUAGUGAAUUGUGCAGUUACUGCGACGAGCAGCCACAGCAGUGACACUGAGGUUGACCAUUGACAAGCAAAUGCUGCUAGAAGCUGGAGAUGGUGCGGCAUGAUGUGGUGUUAAUUGGCCUUAUUCCAUAGUUCUUCCCAUGCUAAUCAGAUGGUUGGCCUGAGAAUCACCUUGACUGUGAAUGUUCUUGUCUGAGGUAUUCCCUUCGAUGCCUGAAGACACCUGUUAGGCUUGUCUUCUCUUGUUUGUACAAGAACCCCUUCAGUCCUUUUCAUGGGGGACAAAAAAAUUGCAACACCUAAUAAACAGAGAAAUUUGAGUGCUUAGGCUUGGCGUGGUAAGCUUGUCCGGUCAUGUUGGGCAAUAGACCUUGACUUCUUGUCUUUAAAUUUUUACUUUUAAGCCAUCAGAAUAGUUUCCUUGCUUAAUUGUCUUAUCCGAAGCUACAAGACGAGUUGAAACUGUAAUUAUUUCCUUUCCACUCAGAUAAUAUACUUUAAUACAGAUGGGUAAUCAUUUAUCCUCAUAA